rfam:Choloepus hoffmanni cont1.84532, whole genome shotgun sequence.
ACGGCGAAAUCGGGAAGAUACUGGCUAGUCUAUGAGGGAAGAAUACCCUUGGGGAAAUGGCCAGAGCCUGCGUAUAUUCCAGCUGGAGCAUCCUGGCGCCGCU